rnacentral:lncRNA from 1 species
UUGGGGAGACUCGAACUCACAACCUCUCGGUUGGAAGUGGGGGUUGCUUACCAUCAGAGUAAUACCACUUUAUUCAACACAAUAUCAGUUUGAUAUGAAUGACUUAAGAGUUUGGUGGCGUUAUUCAGCAAGUUUAAUGUGUUUGCUCCCAAUAAAUUUACUAGCUGGUCUGAAAAGCAAUACCUUGAGUCCGUGCCAUGCUUCCAAAAUAGAGCUGAUGCAGAACUUGACAAAGCUAAAAUGUUUGAAAUACUAUUAGCCCUACCAGAAUACAUGAUACAAGAACAAUGCUGCAGUAAUAAUCUCUAUUUCUUAUCUGAAUAUGUUUGCCUAUGUAAUUGAUGGAUUGGAGUUGUCAAUAUGCGCUGGGUUUAGGACCAGUAGGUUGUUUCUUGCACUCAAGGGGACAAUGUCAAAACCAAGAAAAACAGCAUAACCAUAGUGGAGCAAUAGGUAGUGGGUAAUAUGCAGUAAGCGUCCAAAUAUGCAAUUAAGAACAGGUUAGGAGAGGGACGACGAGAUAGACCAAGAGACAAGGUGCCACUUUAGUAGCAAAUAAUAGCCUGAUUGCAUGAGGACAUAGUGGUGCACAGAUACGCUCGAGUCUCAGAACAAACGCAAUGCCAGGAUGAGCAACUGGAGAUAACAUUCUACCUAUGAUACUAGAUAUAUCAUAUAUGACGGGUUCAUAAACAGAAAGGAAGGGUAGGCACUGUCUUACAGGUCUGUCAUUUAUCCAACUAAGGUAGUGUGCAUCCAAAUAACGGGGUACAAAAAUAGCUUUCGCAUACCAACAUGAGGGCAAAAUAUAUAAUUCUCAUAUCUUCUAAAGUGUCUCUUAGUUCUGAUGAUGAGUAAGCAUUUUGUACCAUUGAUUUUGCUUAAGAAAGGUGCUAGUCAACUUCUCCUAUUUACUGAAAUAAGAUUUCAUGAACCUACACCUUGAUGAUAAAAUCCAUCCCAGUGAAAGAAAAGAACAUCUUUAUAAAAGAAACCAUCAAACUGAAAUCUGGUAAGAUAAGAUAUUACAAGUACUGAAACAAAGAAGGUAAAUCAACAAGAAAUUAUGUCUGAACAGCAAACAAAAUCGAAUCGAACUAUUUUUUCUUUACAAGGCAAACAAAAUCAAAUGAAUAGAAGUAAUACAGAAAUUAUAGCGACAACAUGUUUAACGAAAUAAAUACUACAGCAACUAACCUAUUAGGGGGAAGCUACACCCAGUGUUUGGCUUCUUUCAUAUACUUCUGUUUGUGUACAUUUUAUAGAAGAGGGGUAAGCUUCCAGCUACAACGGAAUAUAUGUUCAAUCAAACAUCAAAGACGCUCACCCAUGAAAAUUUCACAAGAGCAAUAACAAAUUCCUUGAAGUCAGAAACUCAACCACCUGAUUCGAUCAAUUAGUUUGACGGGAAAGAGAUAACUCAAAAACAGUGAUCUUGAAAAGAAAUUGUUAACAUCGCCCAUAUAUACCCAAAAUUUCUACCCUAUGCUCUACCCCAAAAAACGGUCUUUUUAUCAACUUAUUCCAUGCACUAUGAAGCUCAGCCCGAAAGUACAUUUAAGUAUCACUAAGAAAACAAAGAAAUUAAAAGAAGAAGCUAAACAUACGUGAAGCUCUAAGCACCAAAAAUAGCAAAGAUAGUCAAUGGAUGAGAGAGUGGUACAUGAAUUUAAGGUCCGAAGGUAGCCCUGAGUCAAUUAGGCGAUAGAUCUGCUCUCAAAGACGAGCGAUGUACAUACAUUAGUGCGGUAUUUUGUCCAGGGCCCCGGGCCUAAAGGGGGCCUCGUGGACCUUGUUUUGAAC